rnacentral:rRNA from 1 species
UACGGGGGGGGCAAGCGUUGUUCGGAAUUAUUGGGCGUAAAGCGUGCGUAGGCGGCUAUUUAAGUCUGGUGUUAAAGCUAGGGGCUCAACCCCUGUGUUGCACUGGAAACUGGGUAGCUUGAGUGCGGUAGGGGAAGGUGGAAUUCCGAGUGUAGCGGUGAAAUGCGUAGAUAUUCGGAAGAACACCGGUGGCGAAGGCGGGUCUCUGGACAGUUCCUGACGCUGAGGCACGAAGGCCAGGGGAGCAAACGGG